GACGAACGCUGGCGGCGUGCUUAACACAUGCAAGUCGAACGGAAAGGCCCCUUUGGGGGUACUCGAGUGGCGAACGGGUGCGUAACACGUGAGUAACCUGCCCUUGACUUCGGGAUAACUUCAGGAAACUGGGGCUAAUACCGGAUAGGAAUCCUUGCUGCAUGGUGGGGGUUGGAAAGCUUCGGCGGUUUUGGAUGGACUCGCGGCUUAUCAGCUUGUUGGUGGGGUAGUGGCUUACCAAGGCUUUGACGGGUAGCCGGCCUGAGAGGGCGACCGGCCACAUUGGGACUGAGAUACGGCCCAGACUCCUACGGGAGGCAGCAGUGGGGAAUAUUGAACAAUGGGCGGAAGCCUGAUGCAGCAACGCCGCGUGCGGGAUGACGGCCUUCGGGUUGUAAACCGCUUUCAGCAGGGGCGAAGCUUGUGGUGACGGUACCUGCAGAAGAAGCACCGGCUAACUACGUG
rnacentral:rRNA from 1 species